rnacentral:rRNA from 1 species
GAUGAACGCUAGCUACAGGCUUAACACAUGCAAGUCGAGGGGUAACGAGAGGAAAGCUUGCUUUCCUUGUCGACGACCGGCGCACGGGUGAGUAACGCGUAUCCAACCUGCCCCCAACUAGGGAAUAACCUUGCGAAAGUAAGACUAAUACCCUAUAAUUUCCUCAGAUGUCAUCUGACGAGGAAUAAAGAUUUAUCGGUUGUGGAUGGGGAUGCGGCUGAUUGGCUUGUUGGCGGGGUAACGGCCCACCAAGGCAACGAUCAGUAGGGGUUCUGAGAGGAAGGUCCCCCACAUUGGAACUGAGACACGGUCCAAACUCCUACGGGAGGCAGCAGUGAGGAAUAUUGGUCAAUGGGCGGAAGCCUGAACCAGCCAAGUAGCGUGCAGGAUGACGGCCCUAUGGGUUGUAAACUGCUUUUAUACAGGAAUAAAGUUAGCCACGUGUGGUUAUUUGUAGGUACUGUAUGAAUAAGGACCGGCUAAUUCCGUGCCAGCAGCCGCCGUAA